rnacentral:sRNA from 1 species
CCGACCUGGACUGCAGCCCAUAGCGGAGGGGCAGUCCGAGGAGGGCCGGGCUGUCAGCCCAGCGGCUGGCGAGGAGGCCCCAGCCGCGAAGGAGCCGGGCGCGCAGGCCGGCCUGGAGGUCCGUAGUUCGUGGUCCUUCGCCGGUGUCCCCGGAGCCCAGCGGCUGUGGAUGGCAGAAGCCCAGAGUGGGACUGGUCAGCUGCAGGAGCAGAAGAAAGGUCUUCUGAUAGCCGUCAGCGCCUCCGUUGAUAAAAUCAUCUCGCAUUUCGGGGCCGCCCGGAACUUGGUGCAGAAGGUGAAGGUGGCUGGGGGGAGGCUGUUGGGAUGAGGAGAGUAAUGGAGCUCCGCGGGGGGUGCGGGAAUGGUUGGCGGGAGGUGGCUGGAGGGAUCUCUGGAGCCAUCGGCAUCGCGCCACCUCCAGGCCCAGUUGGGUGAUAGCCGGCUGAGCCCGGAUGUGGGGCACCUGGUGCUGACCACCCUCUGCCCGGCCCUCCACGCCCUGGUGGCGGACGGGCUGAAGCCUUUCCGGAAGGACCUCAUCACCGGGCAGCGCAGGAGCAGCCCCUGGAGCGUGGUGGAGGCGUCGGUGAAGCCAGGUGAGCCAGGAGGGCGUGGGACCCGGCAGUGCGCAGGGCAGGGCCGGGCUUGGCUGACUGCACCCCACGUUCUCAGGCUCCAGCACCCGCUCCCUUGGAACCCUGUAUAGCCAGGUCAGCCGUCUAGCCCCGCUGAGCAGCAGCCGUAGCCGCUUCCAUGCCUUUAUCCUGGGCCUCCUCAACACCAAGCAGUUGGAGCUGUGGUUUUCCAGUCUCCAGGAAGAUGCAGGCCUGCUCUCCCUCCUGUACCUGCCAACAGGAUUUUUCUCCCUGGCCCGCGGUGGCUGUCCCUCCCUGUCCACAGAGCUGCUGCUCCUGCUGCAGCCAUUGUCGGUGCUCACUUUCCACCUGGACCUGCUCUUUGAGCACCACCACCACCUGCCC